AAAAUGCGAUACGCAAUGCGAAUUGCAGAAUUCUGCGAGUCAUCAGAUCUUUGAACGCAACUGGCGCUGGAGGGACACCCUUCCAGCAUGCUUGUUUCAGUGUCUUGAAACAUCAAAUAUCUUAAUGUGAUUGAUAUGUUAUUGUAUUAUAACAUAUCUCUCAUGAAAUAUGUAAAUGUGGAUCUUUUGAUCCAAUGCAGUAGUCACAUUUUAUAUGUGAUUUCAUUGGCAUAUUCAAAUUAUCCUUAAACAUUUAAUAACACAAAACAUUCUUCAAUAUGCACCUGAAAUCAAGCAAGGUUACCCACUGAACUUAA
rnacentral:misc_RNA from 1 species